UACGGAGGGGGCAAGCGUUGUUCGGAAUUACUGGGCGUAAAGGGCGCGUAGGCGGCGUGACAGGUCAGGCGUGAAAGCCCCGGGCUCAACCUGGGAAUUGCGCUUGAUACGGUCAUGCUUGAGGUUGGGAGAGGAGAGUGGAAUUCCCAGUGUAGAGGUGAAAUUCGUAGAUAUUGGGAAGAACACCAGUGGCGAAGGCGGCUCUCUGGCCCAUACCUGACGCUGAGGCGCGAAAGCGUGGGGAGCAAAC
rnacentral:rRNA from 1 species